AUUGAACGCUGGCGGCAGGCUUAACACAUGCAAGUCGAGCGGGGUGAUGGUGCUUGCACUAUCACUUAGCGGCGGACGGGUGAGUAAUGCUUAGGAAUCCGCCUAUUAGUGGGGGACGACAUCUCGAAAGGGAUGCUAAUACCGCAUACGUCCUACGGGAGAAAGCAGGGGAUCACUUGCGACCUUGCGCUAAUAGAUGAGCCUAAGUCGGAUUAGCUAGUUGGUGGGGUAAAGGCCUACCAAGGCGACGAUCUGUAGCGGGUCUGAGAGGAUGAUCCGCCACACUGGGACUGAGACACGGCCCAGACUCCUACGGGAGGCAUCAGUGGGGAAUAUUGGACAAUGGGGGGAACCCUGAUCCAGCCAUGCCGCGUGUGUGAAGAAGGCCUUAUGGUUGUAAAGCACUUUAAGCGAGGAGGAGGCUCUUUUGGUUAAUACCCAAGAUGAGUGGACGUUACUCGCAGAAUAAGCACCGGCUAACUCUGUGCCAGCAGCCGCGGUAA
rnacentral:rRNA from 1 species